GCUACCAACCUCUUCUCUAGUCCUGGGGCUUAGCUAGGGAGGGAUAAUUUUGUCUCUCUCAUUUCUGAUUCUGUUUCCAUAAUGAACCCUGGAUGUGUGUUGGUCCUGCUCAUUCAAGCCCUGGCACCAGUGCUGCCCCACAAGAAGCUCAGGAGGAGAAGAUGGCAUCUCCGCAAUGAUCUGAAGGCCUCUCCUUGGAGCUGACCCUACAGCUGCUUGUGAGGUACCUGAGCCCUGUUCCAGCUCCUGGCUGGGCUGUGGGGUUACAGGGUUCCUUGCUGGGGACAGAAUCCUUUGGGAGCUGGCUGAUAGCCUUGCCCUGUCCUGUCUUGUGAAGGGUGGAUAAAGGGAUGGAGGAAAGCCCACAAGAAAGCUCUGAAGAAAUCUUUCUGGACCCUCAUUAUCACUAUGACUAAGGAAUGGAUGGACACCCACAAUAUAUUUCAGGCACUGCUUUAGCAAGGUGGUGAUCCCCCUCAGCACACAGGCACUCCAAAUCAGCUGGAAACUGAAUUAAAUGUUUGAUGACAAGGUUUCCAGCACAGACCAUAACAGCUCUUCGUAGCUGAAUUGAGGACGGCUGAAAAUGUCAGGAAAGCACCUAUACAGGUGUCAAACUGCUCUCUGCAAGCAGGCACAGCACAAGGGAAGGCUGAUGGACUCAUUGCAGAGCCACUAUUUCACCUCAAACUUUUCCUGCAAGUCCUCAGCUGCUGAUUGUGCUUGGCUUUAAUGUGCUGAUGGACUUGUGAGGGUGUGGUUCUGCCCAUGCCUGUUGUGGAAGAGCUGUGUGGGUGAUUUUGAGGACUCAGAAGAUGUUUAAGCAGUUAAUCGGUUCUCUCAAUGGGGCUGGAGGGCUUGUGGGAGGGUAGCCUCUGGUGUAGGAGCAUUAAACAAUUGGCAAAACAUUAUGCUGAUUAUUCAUGUAUUAAUUGGCAGAAGAAAAAGCUCUGGGGGAGGCUCAGACUGCUAAUUUCCAUCCUGACACAGCACUGAAAGGUCUCCCCAAGCAAAAUCUACUCCCUUGAGAGCUUUCCUUCAGCUUAGUUGUGACUCUAAUAACACCCAGGAGACUCCUCCUGGGGUUAGCAUCCCUGGUUAGACAGGGUGAAGUGGUGGUGUCUUUGCAUGACUAUUCAUUUCCUGCUGGGGUCCUUAUGGGGUUAUUCCCAGUGCUGCAUUUAUGACACUUGGGUGUGAGCCCAGACAAAGCCACCAGCUACUCUGCCCUACAAAAGUGUCUCCUCUUCCUUGCAAAAUGCAACUGGGGACUUUCAGCUCUCAAAUGCCUGUUGCUUGGUGAGAAGAAAGCCAGGAACCAGCACUGCUGCGGGUGAAGAGUUCAUCCCCUUGCUAAGCUGCUCGGUGGGAAGGUCUCUGCCAGCUGUGGAGAGGGUGGAAGGCAGAGGAGAUGCAGCUGUUGCUUGGAGACAGGGAAUGACAACAGAUGAAGUUUGUUUUUUUUUCCUCACAAGCUUGUGACUGUCUGUACCUGUGAAAAAUGGACUCCAAACGCCAAUACACAGGGGAGCGAGGUGUGAAAACCCUGACCUUGGAGGCGCUGGGAGUGUGACUGUCGUGGUGCUUCAUUUAUUUUGCUGCAGUACUUUGAGGGGAUGCUGCUGGCCAGAAGCUGAGCUCAGUUUCAAGCCUUUAGCAUAGAUUAAUCUUGAGAUCCCCUAUUUUUAUUUUAAAUAGUUGCUUAUUGCCAGUCUAAACAGUCUGGUGCUGGGCCAUGCUCCAUCCCAGGGGUGAUGUGGACAUGUGGGUUUCCCGUUGUAAGGAAGUUGGUCAAUCUGUGAAUAUCAUUGUUUUGCCACAACAAAGUGUUUUGAUGUGGGCCAGGGAUUAAAUUGCUGUAUGGCAUGAAAUCAUCCCUUCCUGCUGCCAGUGAGGGGCCAAAGGCUAAUUCAUGGCAGUAAUAAGCCUUCACCAGUGGAGGAGCAGUUAUGAAGUCUUAUCUGCCUCACCCAGACCUUUAUCAGGGCAACCCCGCUUCCAGCAAGAAACAAGUGAAGUAGGAAGAGCAACACCCCCUGCUUACUUACAGAUAUUUGCCUUUUUAAUGAGAAGAAAUGAGUAAGAACAAAGUGCUCCAGGCCUGAUGCUUAGCUAAGCCUGUGUGCGCAUUGGUAAAUGUUCUUCCUGCAGGAUCAAGCCUGGUCACAGCUGUGUGGGAAUGGUCUGAGCUGGAAGACUAAACCAUGUGAGCUCCAAGUGAUCAACGGAGAGAUUUCCUGGCUCCUCAGCACAAGGAGCAAUGGCUUGCACUGACUUCAUCUUUCCAUGGGAAGCUUUCCUUGUGCUUGUCGGUCUGGCUGCUUGUCUGGGUUACUGCUGGGGUGAUGGAUGAUGGUUUGGAUGCUGUCCUGAAAAAUGUAGCCUUGGGCAUGCAGCAUUGCCUUUGGUUGUGUGCAAAGGACCAUGCUCCCUUCUGGUCCCCUGGCAAAGGAGAUGGAUGGCCCUGAGCUUCCCAGAGCAAAACUACCCUGCUUCUCUGAGCAACCCAUGAGAAAAUGAGAAUUUAUUGGAGGAAACUAACUGAAGAAUAUGGAGGGUUGAGGUGGAAAGCCUUCCAGAGCCAGUAUCCAAGCAGGUCUAACUGGGAGCUGGGGUGUUAGCUGUGUGGCUCAGUUGUGUGGGGUUGGAAGAAAGAUGCUGAAAAUGUUUGGUAUUUCAGCCCAGGACUGGGUCCCCGGGCAGGAAACGAGCUAGGGUUACCACUUAUCCCUCUUCCUCCAGUCCAGCCUGGAGGUCCUGUAAAGGUCCCCAAGAGUCUCUUUGAGAAAUGACAUCUCAAAUGACAUCUACCUCGAACUGGAGCUUUGGGAGGUGCUUGAUGCUGAUACCUUGACAGGACAAAUUGGGAAGAGGGCUCAGCCCUAGCCUGCCCUGUCCUGUAACUCUGUGCUGGCUUCAUCCUGGAUGAGGGAUAUUGGUACUUUAAAAACAAAACCAAAAACAAGCAAAAAAAAACACAAACAAACAAAAAAAAACAACUGAAUCCUACAACAAAAUACUAGUUUUCUGUUUCUUUGGGGUCUAAAAAUAUAUAAAGUGGGGCUCUCCCAGAGUGAUGUCAGGUCUCAUCACAGCAGGGCUGUCACUGGGAUUGUCCCAUCUCUCUGUUCCAGUGGCACAUGUGCAAACUGGCAGCCUCCAAGCCUCCAACUCUGGAGCUAUUUGGGUUGAAAUUGGUUGACCAGCUCCCAAGCUGAGUGUGAAUUGACAUGCAGGCAGUCCCACACAGCGUGCUAUUGUGUCUUUAGAAAACCUGGUUAAUAACAGUAAUAAACCCAGCAGCUUUAUGGCUCCGGCGAUGUAUCAGCAUGCUGUCACACUGAUGGCAAAACACUUCAAUUCCAGCAAGCAGAAAGUGAUGGGCCUGCGGAGAGACAUAUGUUCCUGCUCUAU